GCAACCGUACCAACAGUCGUGAGAGGUGACUUCCUGAACGCGCCUGAGGUAUACGACACGACAUCUAAACGAUGACAGCACCUCCAAACAAAUCAGGGCCCUCCUGCAAUGAGAAGGUUCAGAGGAGAGAAGGAGCGCACUUGAAGGAGAAGAGAAAACGAACGCCAGUGUCUGAUAAAACCUGUUGGUUUACAACGAUCAAAGAAGAAGAGGAAAAUAAUUAUAUAUAUUGUCAGCUGUCCAUCAUUCUGUCUCUCAUUUUGUAAAGUAAGAAAAGAGAAACAAAGCCAGAAAAGAAAAUAUAGAUAUAUAUUAAAAACAAGUGCAACACAAGCAGAAGAUGAAACAUAAGUAGGACUAGAGUGGGAGUUAUAUUGCAAAAUCUAACGUCAGAAACGACGCAAACUGAAAAUGUACAAAAAGAAACAAAAAAAGGGUUCAUGUUCCAGCAGUAGUCUGACAAGUAUUUUUGCACACAAACAACACCAUGUCCUUUCCCCUGAA